GAUGAACGCUGGCGGCGUGCCUAAUACAUGCCAGUCGAGCGAACGGACGAGAAGCUUGCUUCUCUGAUGUUAGCGGCGGACGGGUGAGUAACACGUGGAUAACCUACCUAUAAGACUGGGAUAACUUCGGGAAACCGGAGCUAAUACCGGAUGAUAUUUUGAACCGCAUGGUUCAAAAGUGAAAGACGGUCUUGCUGUCACUUAUAGAUGGAUCCGCGCUGCAUUAGCUAGUUGGUAAGGUAACGGCUUACCAAGGCAACGAUGCAUAGCCGACCUGAGAGGGUGAUCGACCACACUGGAGCUGAGACACGGUCCAGACUCCUACGGGAGGCAGCAGUAGGGAAUCUUCCGCAAUGGGCGAAAGCCUGACGGAGCAACGCCGCGUGAGUGAUGAAGGUCUUCGGAUCGUAAAACUCUGUUAUUAGGGAAGAACAUAUGUGUAAGUAACUGUGCACAUCUUGACGGUACCUAAUCAGAAAGCCACGGCUAACUACGUG
rnacentral:rRNA from 1 species